rfam:Clostridium sp. IEH 97212 scaffold_12, whole genome shotgun sequence.
UUAUAAACUAUGAAAAGGAAGAGUAAAUAGAUUACUGUUCAAAGAGAAGAAGAUCCAUAGGCUGAAAGAUUUUCUGAAUAAGUUCUAUUGAAAACCACCUUAGAGUUGUAUACUGAAUUGAGUAAGUAUAACCGUUUCCUGCGUUAAAGGAUUAAGAGAUAAUAGUAGUUUACUGCUAUUAAAUUGGGUGGAACCGCGAAAAUACACUCGUCCCAUGU